rnacentral:rRNA from 1 species
CCUACGGGUGGCAGCAGUGAGGAAUAUUGGUCAAUGGGCUUACGCCUGAACCAGCCAAGUCGCGUGAGGGAAGACUGCCCUAUGGGUUGUAAACCUCUUUUGUCAGGGAGCAACGCCGGCUACGUGUAGCCGGACUGAGAGUACCUGAAGAAAAAGCAUUGGCUAACUCCGUGCCAGCAGCCGCGGUAAUACGGAGGAUGCGAGCGUUAUCCGGAUUUAUUGGGUGUAAAGGGGGCGCAGACGGCGAUGCAAGCCAGGAGUGAAAGCCCGGGGCCCAACCCCGGGACUGCUCUUGGAACUGCGUGGCUGGAGUGCAGGAGGGGCAGGCGGAAUUCCUGGUGUAGCGGUGAAAUGCGUAGAUAUCAGGAGGAACACCGGUGGCGAAGGCGGCCUGCUGGACUGCAACUGACGUUGAGGCCCGAAAGCGUGGGGAGCAAACAGGAUUAGAUACCCGAGUAGUC